rnacentral:rRNA from 1 species
UACGGAGGAGGCAAGCGUUAUCCGGAAUUAUUGGGCGUGAAGCGUCCGCAGGUGGCACUUCAAGUCUGUCGUCAAAGACUGGGGCUUAACCCUGGAAAGGCGGUGGAAACUGAAGCGCUAGAGUGCGGUAGGGGUAGAGGGAAUUCCCGGUGUAGCGGUGAAAUGCGUAGAGAUCGGGAAGAACAUCGGUGGCGAAAGCGCUCUACUGGACCGCAACUGACGCUCAGGGACGAAAGUUAGGGGAGCGAAUGGG